rnacentral:misc_RNA from 1 species
UGGCAGGAUCAACCAGGUAGCAUUCCAUGCCGACUUUCGGCGCUGCAUGGACGAAACCCAAAGCAGCUCCGAUUGUCGUUCGCACGUAGCGUGGGACGCUUUUUUUUAGGGGCAGAUCAGAGGCCCGACGAGGCCUCGUACCCACGAGGUACUCCGUGACCGAGAGGAAAAGCGUGGUGCCAUUGAUCCGACAACCCGACGACGGUGGGUUGGAGGAGCAUGACAGGUGCUUCGAAGUUCACCGCUUGCCACUGACCCGAGGGCGAGCAGCAAACGGCGAAAGGGUCAGUUUUGAUCCGACGAAUUCCCGCCCAUUCGGGGUAUGAAACACAGGAAAGCCAUGCUCGGCCAAGAUGUUUUCCCUACUCUUGAACCCACUACUGAAAAAGCGUGACGGAUACGUUUCGCU